rnacentral:rRNA from 1 species
CCCUUAGAUGUUCUGGGCCGCACGCGCGCUACACUGAUGCAUUCAACGAGUUUCUUCCUGGUCCGAGAGGAAUGGGUAACCUUUUGAAAGUGCAUCGUGAUAGGGAUAGACUAUUGCAAUUAUUGGUCUUCAACGAGGAAUUCCUAGUAGACGUAGUUCAUCAGACUGCAUGGAUUACGUCCCUGCCCUUUGUACACACCGCCCGUCGCUCCUACCGAUUGAAUGCUCAGGUGAGCCAUUCGGACUUUCAUCAUGCUGGUUUCCAGUUUUGAUGAAGGAAAGUCUUGCGAACCUUAUCAUUUAGAGGAAGGAGAAGGCGUAACA